GCCUUCGCGGUGCAAUGGUCAGUACACUCGACGCGUAUUCGAGAGGUCCAGAGUUCGAGUCCCGGCGUUGGCA
rnacentral:tRNA from 1 species